GGCGGGGUCUAGGGAGAAGCUAGGGAGGUGGGAGGAGCAUGACAGCGGAGUGGGGUUUCGGGAAACUGACAGGGGUCAGUCGUGGAAGGGGUGGGCACAUCUUUCUCUUGGACCCGCGAGCCAAAGCCACGUUGGUGCUGGUGAUCAUCCAGGCUGAGCGCUGAGCAUUCCCGGUCUCGGGCGAUUUCUUGACGGUCACUUCCAGGCUGAGAGCCAUGACUAGGAGACUGCCGUGGGACUGAAGACCUCUCACCCUCAGCACUCCAUCCGCCCCGACCCUGCCCUCGCUGUGCCUAGUUGGGAAUGCGCCUCCGGGGUCUUCCGCGGUCCGGGAGCCGCACCUGCCGGGUGGAGACGCGGGGCUGGCUGGGGUGCGGGUGUGAGAGGUCUUCGGUUCCACGGCCUCCAACCCAUUCCUGCUUCCGAAGUUCUGUUCCCGCGCUCAAUGCCCUGCCCGAUCCAGUUCCGGCCGCCCCUCUCCCCGCUCCCGCUUCUCCACGCUCUUUCCUUCCCAGGCUCUGCAGUGAAUACACCCAGUCCGAAACCCCCCGCGCGCUUUGGCUCUUGGGUCCCCGCUCCGUGCAGCCGUGGACUGGGGCUCCAGGUCCACCAGGGGGCGCCCGCCGCCCAAGCUGGGUAUCGCUGCGGAGAAAAGGGGCCCAGAGUGGUUCCUCAGGGGAGGGAGGGGGAGGCCCCCAGACGGAAGGGCCCGGGUUUCCUCUGGGAGGAUGGAUCUUAGGUGAUCUGAGGGUGGAGACGGGGUUUCACCAUGUUGCCCAGGUUGGUCUCAGACUCCUGACCUCAAGUGAUCUGCCUGCCUUGUCAUCCCAAGGUGCUGGGAUUACAGGAGGCAGAGGUUGCAGUGAGUUGAGAUCGAGCCACUGUACUCCAGCCCGGGUUAUAGUGCAUGACUCCAUCUCAAUCAAUCAAUCAAUCAAUCAAUAAAACUAGCACGGUAUGGUAGUGUGUACCUGUAGACCCAGCUAUUAAUACAUGGGAGGCUGAGGCAGGAGGAUUGCUUGAGCCCAGGAGUUCCAGAUCAGCCUGGGCAACAUAGUGAGACCCCAUCUGUACAAGAAAUAAUAAUAAUAAUAAAAUAGCUGGGUGUGGUGGCAUGUGCCUGUAGUCCCAGCUACUCAGGAGGCUGAGGUGGGAGGAUCUGGGAGUUCAAGGCUGCAGUGAGUCAUGAUUAUGCCACUGAACUCCAGCCUGGCCGACAGAGCGAGAUCCUGUCUUAAAAAAAAAAAGAUCCACUUCACUCCAUACUUUCCUUCCCUCUUUUCUUCAGUUCUAUCUGGUCCCUAGCUCACUCUCUAGCUGUCUGACUCAUGCAAAUUUCUCUGCUCACACCACUAAUGCUCUGUGAGGCUUCACCUCUGCCCUGGGGUAGACAGAGGACCCAGGCCAGGUAGAAGUUAACACUCGAAGAGGUCACUGGCAACGUGAUGGGAGACACACUACAGAGACCCUGAGAGGAGAGGAUUUUUGCUAGGAAACAAUCAAGGUAGACUUUAUGGGGGAGGCGUCUGUUCACUCAACCUCAGAGGCAGAAGAAGGAGGGGCCCCCCGGCACAGCCUGGGGUGCUGUCCCUUCCAACUACUUCCUGUGCAAUCCCUCCCUCAAGGCCUGUGAUGGUGAGGGUGGAGAGUGGGGCCCUUCCCCAGUGGGUGAGGAAAACCAGAGCCCACGCUUACUUCGAGGAGACAGCUGAGCACAAGAGGUGUGACUCCAGCAAACGUGAGGUGCUAAGAGGGUGACGUUGAGUCUCCACGGUGGGUGGGGCCGCCUGGCUCAGAUGUCCCAACCACAGCACGUCACGGCGCUCCCUGACUGCGGCCUGAGCCUUCCCCAGGCGUUGAGGUCUUGUUUCCCUUCCCUGGGGCGCCUUUCAGAACUCCGCCAAGCCCCCCAGCACAGAUAGGAGUUCAGACCGGUCUCAGUGAGACCUUGGCCAAGAGACGUCACUUUCUGGAGUUUCAAUUUCUGUGCCCACGUUUUAGGGACGAUGGUGUACCACAGAACUGUAGAGAAAAUUCAGUGACCAUCACAAUGACAGGUUGCCUUUAUCGAACAUUUACUAUGUGCUGGGCACAGUGCUCAGAGCAAGCUUUCCACCAUUCUUUGAGAUCCACUACGAUUUCCAUUUAACACAUCUGAACAAUGAGCUGAAUCAGAGAAGUGAAGCCAUUUGCCCAAGAUCACACAGCAAACACUCUCACACUCUCUCUCUUUUUUUUCUUUUUCUUUUUCUUUUUUUUGAGGCAGAGUCUUGCUCUGCUGUCCAGGAUGGAGUGCAGCGGCACGAUCUGUGCUCACUGCAUCCUCCGCCUCGCGCAUUCAAGCGAAUCUCCUACCUCAGCCCCCUGAGUAGCUGGGAUUACAGGCAUGUGCCACCACGCCCAACUAAUUUUUUGUAUUUUCAGUAGAGACGGGAUUUCACUGUGUUAGUCAGGUUGGUCUCAAUCUCCCGACCUCAGGUGAUCCACCUGCCUCGGCCUCCCAAAGUACUGGGAUUAUAGGCAUGAGCCACCAUGCCCAGCCUGUCUUUCUUUUUUUGUUUUUGUUUUUAUUUUAAAGACAAGGUCUUGCUCUUUUUUGCCCAGGCUGGAGUGCAGUGGUGUAACCAUAGCUCACCACAACCUCUGCCUCCCUAGGUCAAGCGAUCCUCCCACCUCAGCCUCCCUGAGUAGGCUGGGACCACAGGUGUGUGCCAUGACACUUGGUUAAUUACUUUUUUUUUUUUUUUUGAGGCGGAGUCUGGCUCUGUCGCCCAGGCUGGAGUGCAGUGGCCGGAUCUCAGCUCACUGCAAGCUCCGCCUCCCGGGUUCACGCCAUUCUCCUGCCUCAGCCUCCCGGGUAGCUGGGACUACAGGCGCCGCCACCUCGCCUGGCUAGUUUUUUGUAUUUUUUAGUAGAGACGGGGUUUCACCGUGUUAGCCAGGAUGGUCUCGAUUUCCUGACCUCGUGAUCCACCCGUCUCGGCCUCCCAAAGUGCUGGGAUUACAGGCUUGAGCCACCGUGCCCGGACUACUUUUUUUUUUUUUUGAGACAGAGUCUUGCUCUGUUGCCCAGGCUGGGGUGCAGUGGCGCCAUCUUGGCUCACCACAACCUCUGCCUCCCGGGUUCAGGUGAUUCUCCUGCCUCAGUCCCCAAAGUAGCUGGGACUACAGGCGUGUGCCACCGUGCCUGGCUGAUUUUUUUUUUUUUUUUUUUUUUUUU
ensembl:lincRNA